rnacentral:rRNA from 1 species
AUACGGAGGAUCCGAGCGUUAUCCGAAUUUAUUGGGUUUAAAGGGUGCGUAGGUGGUUUGAUAAGUCAGCGGUGAAAGUUUGCAGCUUAACUGUAAAAAUGCCGUUGAAACUGUCGGACUUGAGUGUAAAUGAGGUAGGCGGAAUGCGUGGUGUAGCGGUGAAAUGCAUAGAUAUCACGCAGAACUCCGAUUGCGAAGGCAGCUUACUAAGCUACAACUGACACUGAAGCACGAAAGCGUGGGGAUCAAACAGGAUUAGAUACCCUGGUAGUCCACGCAGUAAACGAUGAUUACUAGCUGUUUGCGAUACACAGUAAGCGGCACAGCGAAAGCGUUAAGUAAUCCACCUGGGGAGUACGCCGGCAACGGUGAAACUCAAAGGAAUUGACGGGG